AUUGAACGCUGGCGGCAGGCCUAACACAUGCAAGUCCAGCGAGCGGCGGACGGGUGAGUAAUGUAUGGGGACUGCCCGAUCGAGGGGGAUAACUACUGGAAACGGUGGCUAAUACCGCAUAAUAUCGGAUACCCCAUCUGGGUUUGGCUAGUAGGUGGGGUAAAGGCUCACCUAGGCCACGAUCUCUAGCUUGUUGGAGAGGAUGAUCAGCCACACUGGGACGGAGAAACGGACCAGACUCCUACGGAGGCAGCAGUGGGGAAUAUUGCACAAUGGGGGCAAGCCUGAUGCAGCCAUGACGCGUGUAUGAAGAAGGUCUUAGGGUUGUAAAGUACUGUCAGCGGGGAGGCGUUACCCGCAGAAGAAGCACCGGCUAACUCCGUGCCAGCAGCCGCGGUAAUAC
rnacentral:rRNA from 1 species